GAUGAACGCUAGCGGCAGGCUUAACACAUGCAAGUCGAGGGGCAGCAUAGACAUUGCUUGCAAUGUUUGAUGGCGACCGGCGCACGGGUGCGUAACGCGUAUGCAACCUACCUAUAACAGGGGGAUAACACUGAGAAAUUGGUACUAAUACCCCGUAACAUCAGAGAGGGCAUCCUUUUUGGUUGAAAGUUCCGGCGGUUAUAGAUGGGCAUGCGUUGUAUUAGCUAGUAGGUGAGGUAAUGGCUCACCUAGGCGACGAUACAUAGGGGGACUGAGAGGUUAACCCCCCACAUUGGAACUGAGACACGGUCCAAACUCCUACGGGAGGCAGCAGUGAGGAAUAUUGGUCAAUGGUCGGAAGACUGAACCAGCCAAGUAGCGUGAAGGAUGACUGCCCUACGGGUUGUAAACUUCUUUUGUUUGGGAAUAAAAGACGCUACGUGUAGCGUUCUGCAUGUACCUUACGAAUAAGCAUCGGCUAAUUCCGUG
rnacentral:rRNA from 1 species